GAAAGAUUCAUCGGAAGAGGAUGGGCAUGCGGCGCAUUAGCUUGACGGCGGGGUAACGGCCCACCGUGGCGACGAUGCGUAGGGGUUCUGAGAGGAAGGUCCCCCACACUGGUACUGAGACACGGACCAGACUCCUACGGGAGGCAGCAGUGAGGAAUAUUGGUCAAUGGGAGAGAUCCUGAACCAGCCAAGCCGCGUGAGGGAAGACGGCCCUAUGGGUUGUAAACCUCUUUUGUCGGAGAACAAAACCCGGGACGAGUCCCGGACUGCGUGUAUCCGAAGAAAAAGCAUCGGCUAACUCCGUGCCAGCAGCCGCGGUAAUACGGAGGAUGCGAGCGUUAUCCGGAUUUAUUGGGUUUAAAGGGUGCGUAGGCGGUCCGUUAAGUCAGCGGUAAAAUUGCGGGGCUCAACCCCGUCGAGCCGUUGAAACUGGCAGACUUGAGUUGGCGAGAAGUACGCGGAAUGCGCGGUGUAGCGGUGAAAUGCAUAGAUAUCGCGCAGAACUCCGAUUGCGAAGGCAGCGUACCGGCGCCAGACUGACGCUGAGGCACGAAAGCGUGGGGAUCGAACAGGAUUAGAUACCCUGGUAGUCCACGCAGUAAACGAUGAAUGCUGGUUGUCCGGGUCGGAUGAGAUCUGGGCGG
rnacentral:rRNA from 1 species